AGACUUUGAUCNUNGCUCAGAAUCAACGCUGGCGGCGUGNCUAACACAUGCAAGUCGAGCGAGAAAGGGGACUUCGGUCCCUUAGUANAACGGCGGACGGGUGAGUAACACNUGGGUAAUCUGCCCUCGGGUGGGGAAUAACUCACGGAAACCUGGGCUAAUUCCNCAUGAUACUUUNUAUUCAUACAAUAUUGAGAAUCAAAGCUGGGGACCCUUCGGGGCCUGGCGCCUGGGGAGGAGCCCGCGGCCAAUUAUCUUGAUGGUGAGGUAAUGGCUCACCAUGGCUUCAANUGGUAACCNGCCUGANAGGGCGGACGGUCACACUGGGACUGAUACACGGCCCANACUCCUACGGGAGGCACCAGUGGGGAAUUUUUGUCAAUGGGGGAAACCCUGAACAAUCAACGCCCUNNUGAAUGACAANUACCUUNUUGNUGGAAACUUNUGUCCGAGGGGACGAAAACANUAUUGGUUUAUACCCAGUNUUGUUGACGGUCCCUACGAAGAAGNCCCGGGUUACUCCGUGCCAUCAGCCGCNGUAAUACCNGGG
rnacentral:rRNA from 1 species